rnacentral:rRNA from 1 species
UUCAUGGAGAGUUUGAUCCUGGCUCAGGACGAACGCUGGCGGCGUGCCUAAUACAUGCAAGUCGAGCGGACCGACGGGAGCUUGCUCCCUUGGGUCAGCGGCGGACGGGUGAG